GAAGGUAGAGCUUAGCAGUAGAGCACACGCUUAGCAUGCAUGAGGUCCUGGGCUCAAUGUCCAGUAUCUCCA
rnacentral:tRNA from 1 species